rnacentral:rRNA from 1 species
CCAUGUGAACGUUACCAAACUGUUGCCUCGGCGGGAUCUCUGCCCCGGGUGCGUCGCAGCCCCGGACCAAGGCGCCCGCCGGAGGACCAACCAAAACUCUUAUUGUAUACCCCCUCGCGGGUUUUUUUAUAAUCUGAGCCUUCUCGGCGCCUCUCGUAGGCGUUUCGAAAAUGAAUCAAAACUUUCAACAACGGAUCUCUUGGUUCUGGCAUCGAUGAAGAACGCAGCGAAAUGCGAUAAGUAAUGUGAAUUGCAGAAUUCAGUGAAUCAUCGAAUCUUUGAACGCACAUUGCGCCCGCCAGUAUUCUGGCGGGCAUGCCUGUCCGAGCGUCAUUUCAACCCUCGAACCCCUCCGGGGGGUCGGCGUUGGGGAUCGGCCCUGCCUUGGCGGUGGCCGUCUCCGAAAUACAGUGGCGGUCUCGCCGCAGCCUCUCCUGCGCAGUAGUUUGCACACUCGCAUCGGGAGCGCGGCGCGUCCACAGCCGUUAAACACCCAACUUCUGAAAUGUUGACCUCGGAUCAGGUAGGAAUACCCGCUGAACUUAAGCAUAUC